rnacentral:lncRNA from 1 species
CUUCCAUACACUCUUCCCGCUGGAUCUGUCAGAACUGCAGGAGACCGGGGUCCCUCUGCAAAACAGUGAACAUGGAGUGCUGUUGAGUGUGUUCCAAGCUCACAUCUCUCAGCACUAUCUAAGGUGAAUCCUUGGAGCUAUGUGGAAGUCCGUGCCCUGUUGUUCAAGCCCCAGAAGAAAUGGAGAUUAAC